rnacentral:rRNA from 1 species
CCUACGGGAGGCAGCAGUGGGGAAUAUUGCACAAUGGGGGAAACCCUGAUGCAGCGACGCCGCGUGAGUGAAGAAGUAUUUCGGUAUGUAAAGCUCUGUCAGCAGGGAAGAAAAUGACGGUACCUGACCAAGAAGCCCCGGCUAACUACGUGCCAGCAGCCGCGGUAAUACGGAGGGGGCAAGCGUUAUCCGGAUUUACUGGGUGUAAAGGGAGCGUAGACGGCAGGGCAAGGCUGGAGUGAAAGGCGGGGGCUCAACCCCCGGACUGCUCUGGAAACUGCCAGGCUGGGGUGCAGGAGAGGGAAGUGGAAUUCCUAGUGUAGCGGUGCAAUGCGUAGAUAUUAGGAGGAACACCAGUGGCGAAGGCGGCUUACUGGACUGUAACUGACGUUGAGGCUCGAAAGCGUGGGGAGCAAACAGGAUUAGCUCCCCGGGUAGGUC